rnacentral:rRNA from 1 species
UCGUGUCGUGAGAUGUUGGGUUAAGUCCCGCAACGAGCGCAACCCUCGCCUUUAGUUGCCAGCAUUCAGUUGGGCACUCUAGAGGGACUGCCGGUGUCAAACCGGAGGAAGGUGGGGAUGACGUCAAGUCCUCAUGGCCUUUAUGUCUAGGGCUACACACGUACUACAAUGGCCGGUACAAAGGGCAGCCACUCAGCGAUGAGGCGCUAAUCCCAUAAAGCCGGUCUCAGUCCGGAUCGCAGUCUGCAACUCGACUGCGUGAAGUUGGAAUCGCUAGUAAUCGUAGAUCAGCAUGCUACGGUGAAUACGUUCCCGGGCCUU